rnacentral:rRNA from 1 species
UACGUAGGGGGCGAGCGUUGUCCGAAGUUACUGGGCGUAAAGCGCGCGUAGGCGGCUUCUUAAGUCUGAGGUGAAAGGUUCAACGCUUAACGUGAACAGUGCCUUGGAUACUGGGGAGCUUGAGUGUGGCAGAGGAUAGUGGAAUUCCUGGUGUAGCGGUGAAAUGCGUAGAGAUCAGGAAGAACACCGGUGGCGAAAGCGCUCUGCUGGACCUUAACUGACACUGAGGGACGAAAGCUAGGGGAGCGAAUGGG